rnacentral:rRNA from 1 species
GUCGAGCGAAAGAUAAGGAGCUUGCUCCUUUGACGUUAGCGGCGGACGGGUGAGUAACACGUGGAUAACCUACCUAUAAGACUGGGAUAACUUCGGGAAACCGGAGCUAAUACCGGAUAACAUAUUGAACCGCAUGGUUCAAUAGUGAAAGGCGGCUUUGCUGUCACUUAUAGAUGGAUCCGCGCCGUAUUAGCUAGUUGGUAAGGUAACGGCUUACCAAGGCAACGAUACGUAGCCGACCUGAGAGGGUGAUCGGCCACACUGGAACUGAGACACGGUCCAGACUCCUACGGGAGGCAGCAGUAGGGAAUUUUCCGCAAUGGGCGAAAGCCUGACGGAGCAACGCCGCGUGAGUGAUGAAGGUCUUCGGAUCGUAAAACUCUGUUAUCAGGGAAGAACAAAUGUGUAAGUAACUGUGCACAUCUUGACGGUACCUGAUCAGAAAGCCACGGCUAACUACGUGCCAGCAGCCGCGGUAAUACGUAGGUGGCAAGCGUUAUCCGGAAUUAUUGGGCGUAAAGCGCGCGUAGGCGGUUUUUUAAGUCUGAUGUGAAAGCCCACGGCUCAACCGUGGAGGGUCAUUGGAAACUGGAAAACUUGAGUGCAGAAGAGGAAAGUGGAAUUCCAUGUGUAGCGGUGAAAUGCGCAGAGAUAUGGAGGAACACCAGUGGCGAAGGCGACUUUCUGGUCUGUAACUGACGCUGAUGUGCGAAAGCGUGGGGAUCAAACAGGAUUAGAUACCCUGGUAGUCCACGCCGUAAACGAUGAGUGCUAAGUGUUAGGGGGUUUCCGCCCCUUAGUGCUGCAGCUAACGCAUUAAGCACUCCGCCUGGGGAGUACGACCGCAAGGUUGAAACUCAAAGGAAUUGACGGGGACCCGCACAAGCGGUGGAAGCAUGUGGUUUAAUUCGAAGCAACGCGAAGAACCUUACCAAAUCUUGACAUCCUUUGACCGCUCUAGAAGAUAGAGUCUUCCCCUUCGGGGGACAAAGUGACAGGUGGGUGCAUGGUUGUCGUCAGCUCGUGUCGUGAAGAGGUUUUGGGUUAAGUCCCGCAACGAGCGCAACCCUUAAGCUUAGUUGCCAUCAAUUAAGUUGGGCACUCUAAGUUGACUGCCGGUGACAAACCGGAGGAAGGUGGGGAUGACGUCAAAUCAUCAUGCCCCUUAUGAUUUGGGCUACACACGUGCUACAAUGGACAAUACAAAGGGCAGCUAAACCGCGAGGUCAAGCAAAUCCCAUAAAGUUGUUCUCAGUUCGGAUUGUAGUCUGCAACUCGACUACAUGAAGCUGGAAUCGCUAGUAAUCGUAGAUCAGCAUGCUACGGUGAAUACGUUCCCGGGUCUUGUACACACCGCCCGUCACACCACGAGAGUUUGUAACACCCGAAGCCGGUGGAGUAACCAUUUAUGGAGCUAGCCGUCGAAGGUGGGACAAAUGA